GGGCGAAUGGUCUAGGGGUAUGAUACUCCCUUCGCAUCGCUGAAUUCUUCAGUAGAGAAUGGGAGGGGUCCGGGGUUCAAUUCCCCGUUCGUCCA